rnacentral:tRNA from 1 species
GGGCUUAUGGUCUAGGGGUAUGAUUUUCCCUUCGCAUCUUUAAAACGACGCUUGGGAAAGGUCCGGGGUUCAAUUCCCCGUGAGUCCA